UGGGGAAUAUUGCACAAUGGGCGCAAGCCUGAUGCAGCCAUGCCGCGUGUAUGAAGAAGGCCUUCGGGUUGUAAAGUACUUUCAGCGGGGAGGAAGGGAGUAAAGUUAAUACCUUUGCUCAUUGACGUUACCCGCAGAAGAAGCACCGGCUAACUCCGUGCCAGCAGCCGCGGUAAUACGGAGGGUGCAAGCGUUAAUCGGAAUUACUGGGCGUAAAGCGCACGCAGGCGGUUUGUUAAGUCAGAUGUGAAAUCCCCGGGCUCAACCUGGGAACUGCAUCUGAUACUGGCAAGCUUGAGUCUCGUAGAGGGGGGUAGAAUUCCAGGUGUAGCGAUGAAAUGCGUAGAGAUCUGGAGGAAUACCGGUGGCGAAGGCGGCCCCCUGGACGAAGACUGACGCUCAGGUGCGAAAACGUGGGGAGCAAACAGG
rnacentral:rRNA from 1 species